rnacentral:tRNA from 1 species
GCCCAGGUGGUGGAAUGGUAGACGCGCUGGCUUCAGGUGCCAGUGUCCGCAAGGACGUGGAGGUUCGAGUCCUCUCCUGGGCACCA